UACGUAGAGUGCAAGCGUUGUCCGGAUUAUUGGGCGUAAAGGGUACGGCAGGCGGAUAGUAAAGUCAAGCGUGAAAGGUGUCGGCUUAACCGACAGACUGCGUUUGAAGCUGAUUAUCUUGAGUGUAACAGAGGAGAGUGGAAUUCCUAGUGUAGUGGUGAAAUACGUAGAUAUUAGGAAGAACACCAGUGGCGAAGGCGACUCUCUGGGUUAACACUGACGCUGAGGUACGAAAGCUGGGGGAGGCAAACGGGGAGUUAGAUACCCGUGUAGU
rnacentral:rRNA from 1 species